CUUAAAUUAUUAAUAGAUAUAAUCUUUAAAUUUGAAGAAUUUGGCGGUGGUUUAGUCUUGUUGGAGGAACCUGUUUUUGGAUCGAUAAACCACGUAAAAUUUUACUUAUUUUAUUAGUUUGUAUACCGUCAUUAUCAGAUAAUUUUUAGAGAAUUAAUUAUUAAAAUUUUUUAAAUGAAAAUUAAAUUAGAUCAAGGUGCAGCUUAUAAAUAAGCUAAAAUGGGUUACAAUAGAAUUUAUCUACAUGGAGUAGUAGUAGGAAGCGAUUUUAUGAAGGCGGAUUUAAUUGUAAUGAAAAUUUAAUAAGUUUUAAAGAUAUAAGCUCUAGACCAU
rnacentral:rRNA from 1 species